CUGGCCUUGCUCAGUGGGAGAAGGAUCUGGCAUUGCUGUGAGCUGUGGUUCUCAAGAUUUUUACACCCUGGGCAGUGCACAGACUAGGAUUUGGGGAGGAACUGAUAAGGAAGCAAUCGUCAGAUAAUGAAAUGGAAGCUGAGAAGGUUUACAUAAUAUAUUCUGAGCCACACAGCAAGUACCUGACAAAGCCAAGAUUCCCAAAAAUUGUUUUCAGGAUGAUCUGCUGAAAUUAACAUCUUGUUGCAUAAGUCCUACUGUAUGCCCAUUAUGAGUCAUUUCCUUAUAUCAUCUUUGAAUCCCCCCGCCCCAAAACCUUAUGGGAUGAGGUUUAUAAACAUUCAGUAACAUGAUCAACAUCUCAUGGCUACUAAGUAAUAGAUCUGUAAUUUAAACUGGCGUCUUUCUUGGACUUUAAAACGUUUAUCAUUUCCUACUAUAACACAGUGUCCUGCUAGUUACCCAGUUCUUGUUGGAGGAAUCUGAAAUAGCCCAGUAAAGAAAAUUUUGCCAAGACUAGAAAUUUGGUGGUUUCUUGGGUUUAGCUCCGAAAAUAAACAUAUACUUAGAAUCAUGGACUAUCAAGUGGAUUCAUGUUUGAAUCCUACCAGUCUUACCUACAUAAACUUGGUUGAUUUCCCUUCAAAGCUUCAGUCCUCACCUCUGUAUAACGGGGAUACCAGUGACGACGUCAGAGGACUGUGCGAGCCUCAGUAGGAUGAUGUGUGCCACACUCCCUACCUACCAAGAGGCCAGUGCUUGGAGCAGUCAAGGAAGAGCACAGACCCAAAACUAGCUGCCUGCGUUCAAAUUCUAAGUGUGCCUUGUUGGCUUUCUGAUCCUAGACAAAUUUCCUUUAGCCAUCUCUACCACCAUUUCCUCACUGGUAAAAUGCGGUAUUGCUGAUAACUACUUUUUGACUUAGUAUGUAAAGUGCUUAGGGGAAAAAAAAAAAAAACUGUUCCAUUAA